CCCGUGUACUGCAAAUAAAUAAAUAAAUAAAUAAAGUUUAAAAAAAAAAAAAAAAGUGGGUAAUCCUAGUACCUGCCUCAGAGGGUCGUUUCGAAGAUGAGAUGAAUUAGCACUUGUAAAGCCCUUAGACCAGACCGCAGCCAGGCAGACAGGAAGUGCCGUGUGGGACUCAGCUGUCGUUAGUGUUCUUGCUAAUUGCUGUUUGAGCUCUGCCUCUCUGUCACCCUCGGCAAGUCCCUGCCCUUCCUCAGUCUCCACUUCUGUCUUUGAAAGGGGACCGAGUCAGCAGGCAGUAAGCAGCCAUGCCUGCCCCACCGCACACCCACAGCUCACAGUCUAGGGGAGCACAGAGCCGAGUGGAGACCACAGCCACCCGGAGUUCGCUGUGCUGUGAUGGGGACACCCGGGGGCGGUGGGAGCCCAGAAGAGGCAUCUGACGCAGGCUUGAGAAUGUGCUCCCCGAGGGCUCAGUUUUUAAUGCUGCUGUUCACUGCUGUGUCCCCAGUGCCUAGAACAGUGCCUGGCACACGGUAGGUACUCAACACAUUU